rnacentral:tRNA from 1 species
GCGGAAGUAGCUCAGUGGUAGAGCACCACCUUGCCAAGGUGGGGGUCGCGAGUUCGAAUCUCGUUUUCCGCUCCA